rnacentral:rRNA from 1 species
AUACGGAGGGUGCAAGCGUUACUCGGAAUCACUGGGCGUAAAGCGCGCGCAGGCGGCUAUUUAAGUUGGAUGUGAAAGCCUACGGCUCAACCGUAGAACUGCAUCCAAAACUAUUAGACUAGAGUGUGGGAGAGGAAGAUGGAAUUAGUUGUGUAGGGGUAAAAUCCGUAGAGAUAACUAGGAAUACCAAAAGCGAAGGCAAUCUUCUGGAACACUACUGACGCUGAGGCGCGAAAGCGUGGGGAGCAAACGGGAUUAGAAACCCUAGUAGUCC